rnacentral:tRNA from 1 species
GCCCCGUUAGCUCAGCCUGGGAGAGCGGCUGAUUCGUAAUCAGCAGGUCGCGGGUUCAAAUCCCGCACGGGGCU